rnacentral:rRNA from 1 species
GACGAAGGGGGCUAGCGUUGUUCGGAAUUACUGGGCGUAAAGCGUGUGUAGGUGGUUGUCAUAGUCAGGCGUGAAAGCCUUGAGCUCAACUCAAGAAAUGCGCUUGAUACUGGGCAGCUAGAGGACCGGAGAGGAUAGUGGAAUUCCCAGUGUAGUGGUGAAAUACGUAGAGAUUGGGAAGAACACCAGUGGCGAAGGCGGCUCACUGGCCCGGUACUGACGCUGAGGUGCGAAAGCGUGGGGAGCAAACAGG